UGAGGAAUAUUGGUCAAUGGGUGCAAGCCUGAACCAGCCAUCCCGCGUGAAGGACGACUGCCCUAUGGGUUGUAAACUUCUUUUGUAUAGGGAUAAACCUACCCUCGUGAGGGUAGCUGAAGGUACUAUACGAAUAAGCACCGGCUAACUCCGUGCCAGCAGCCGCGGUAAUACGGAGGGUGCAAGCGUUAUCCGGAUUUAUUGGGUUUAAAGGGUCCGUAGGCGGACUUAUAAGUCAGUGGUGAAAGCCUGUCGCUUAACGAUAGAACUGCCAUUGAUACUGUAAGUCUUGAGUAUAUUUGAGGUAGCUGGAAUAAGUAGUGUAGCGGUGAAAUGCAUAGAUAUUACUUAGAACACCAAUUGCGAAGGCAGGUUACCAAGAUAUAACUGACGCUGAGGGACGAAAGC
rnacentral:rRNA from 1 species